AACGCUAGCUACAGGCUUAACACAUGCAAGUCGAGGGGCAGCAUGGUCUUAGCUUGCUAAGGCCGAUGGCGACCGGCGCACGGGUGAGUAACACGUAUCCAACCUGCCGUCUACUCUUGGACAGCCUUCUGAAAGGAAGAUUAAUACAAGAUGGCAUCAUGAGUCCGCAUGUUCACAUGAUUAAAGGUAUUCCGGUAGACGAUGGGGAUGCGUUCCAUUAGAUAGUAGGCGGGGUAACGGCCCACCUAGUCUUCGAUGGAUAGGGGUUCUGAGAGGAAGGUCCCCCACAUUGGAACUGAGACACGGUCCAAACUCCUACGGGAGGCAGCAGUGAGGAAUAUUGGUCAAUGGGCGCAGGCCUGAACCAGCCAAGUAGCGUGAAGGAUGACUGCCCUAUGGGUUGUAAACUUCUUUUAUAAAGGAAUAAAGUCGGGUAUGUAUACCCGUUUGCAUGUACUUUAUGAAUAAGGAUCGGCUAACUCCGUGCCAGCAGCCGCGGUAAUACGGAGGAUCCGAGCGUUAUCCGGAUUUAUUGGGUUUAAAGGGAGCGUAGAUGGAUGUUUAAGUCAGUUGUGAAAGUUUGCGGCUCAACCGUAAAAUUGCAGUUGAUACUGGAUAUCUUGAGUGCAGUUGAGGCAGGCGGAAUUCGUGGUGUAGCGGUGAAAUGCUUAGAUAUCACGAAGAACUCCGAUUGCGAAGGCAGCCUGCUAAGCUGCAACUGACAUUGAGGCUCGAAAGUGUGGGUAUCAAACAGGAUUAGAUACCCUGGUAGUCCACACGGUAAACGAUGAAUACUCGCUGUUUGCGAUAUACGGCAAGCGGCCAAGCGAAAGCGUUAAGUAUUCCACCUGGGGAGUACGCCGGCAACGGUGAAACUCAAAGGAAUUGACGGGGGCCCGCACAAGCGGAGGAACAUGUGGUUUAAUUCGAUGAUACGCGAGGAACCUUACCCGGGCUUAAAUUGCAGAUGAAUUACGGUGAAAGCCGUAAGCCGCAAGGCAUCUGUGAAGGUGCUGCAUGGUUGUCGUCAGCUCGUGCCGUGAGGUGUCGGCUUAAGUGC
rnacentral:rRNA from 1 species